rnacentral:rRNA from 1 species
UACGUAGGGGGCAAGCGUUGUCCGGAAUUACUGGGCGUAAAGCGCGUGUAGGUGGAUUGGUGUGUCAGAUGUGAAAGCCCUGGGCUCAACCCAGGAACUGCACCUGAAACUACCAGUCUUGAGUGGUGGAGAGGGAAGUGGAAUUCCUGGUGUAGAGGUGAAAUUCGUAGAUAUCAGGAGGAACACCAGUGGCGAAGGCGGCUUCCUGGACACUAACUGACGCUGAGACGCGAAAGCGUGGGGAGCAAACAGG